UGAGUAAAGGGCUUGUAUCUACCAUGGA
rnacentral:piRNA from 1 species